rnacentral:rRNA from 1 species
AUUGAACGCUGGCGGCAGGCUUAACACAUGCAAGUCGAGCGGAGAGAGGUAGCUUGCUACUGAUCUUGGCGGCGGACGGGUGAGUAAUGCUUAGGAAUCUGCCUAUUAGUGGGGGACAACAUUUCGAAAGGAAUGCUAAUACCGCAUACGUCCUACGGGAGAAAGCAGGGGAUCUUCGGACCUUGCGCUAAUAGAUGAGCCUAAGUCGGAUUAGCUAGUUGGUGGGGUAAAGGCCUACCAAGGCGACGAUCUGUAGCGGGUCUGAGAGGAUGAUCCGCCACACUGGGACGGAGACACGGCCCAGACUCCUACGGGAGGCAGCAGUGGGGAAUAUUGGACAAUGGGCGGAAGCCUGAUCCAGCCAUGCCGCGUGUGUGAAGAAGGCCUUAUGGUUGUAAAGCACUUUAAGCGAGGAGGAGGCUACUUUAGUUAAUACCUAGAGAUAGUGGACGUUACUCGCAGAAUAAGCACCGGCUAACUCUGUGCCAGCAGCCGCGGUAAGAC